rnacentral:rRNA from 1 species
CCUACGGGUGGCAGCAGUAGGGAAUAUUGCUCAAUGGGGGAAACCCUGAAGCAGCAACGCCGCGUGGAGGAUGAAGGUUUUCGGAUUGUAAACUCCUUUUGUUAGAGAAGAGAAUGACGGUAUCUAACGAAUAAGCACCGGCUAACUCCGUGCCAGCAGCCGCGGUAAUUCGGAGGGUGCAAGCGUUACUCGGAAUUACUGGGCGUAAAGAGCGCGUAGGCGGGAGAGCAAGUCAGAUGUGAAAACCUAUGGCUUAACCAUAGAACCGCAUUUUAAACUGGUAUUCUAGAGUAUUGGAGAGGGUGGUUGAAGUCUUGGUUUAGGGGGUAAAUCCGUAGAGAUCAAGAGGAAUACUCAUUGCGAAGGCGACCUGCUAGAACAUAACUGACGCUGAUGCGCGAAAGCGUGGGGAGCAAACAGGAUUAGAUACCCUAGUAGUC